AGAGUUUGAUCCUGGCUCAGGACGAACGCUGGCGGCGUGCCUAAUACAUGCAAGUCGAGCGAGCGGAACCAGCAGAAUCACUUCGGUGAGGACGCUGGGAAAGCGAGCGGCGGAUGGGUGAGUAACACGUGGGGGACCUGCCCUUAAGUCUGGGAUACCACUUGGAAACAGGUGCUAAUACCGGAUAAGAAAGCAGUUCGCAUGAACAGCUUUUAAAAGGCGGCGCAAGCUGUCGCUAAAGGAUGGACCCGCGGUGCAUUAGCUAGUUGGUAAGGUAACGGCCUACCAAGGCAGUGAUGCAUAGCCGAGUUGAGAGACUGAUCGGCCACAUUGGGACUGAGACACGGCCCAAACUCCUACGGGAGGCAGCAGUAGGGAAUCUUCCACAAUGGACGCAAGUCUGAUGGAGCAACGCCGCGUGAGUGAAGAAGGUUUUCGGACCGUAAAGCUCUGUUGUUGGUGAAGAAGGAUAGAGGUAGUAACUGGCCUUUAUUUGACGGUAAUCAACCAGAAAGUCACGGCUAACUACGUGCCAGCAGCCGCGGUAAUACGUAGGUGGCAAGCGUUGUCCGGAUUUAUUGGGCGUAAAGCGAGCGCAGGCGGAAGAAUAAGUCUGAUGUGAAAGCCCUCGGCUUAACCGAGGAAUUGCAUCGGAAACUGUUUUUCUUGAGUGCAGAAGAGGAGAGUAGAACUCCAUGUGUAGCGGUGGAAUGCGUAGAUAUAUGGAAGAAUACCAGUGGCGAAGGCGGCUCUCUGGUCUGCAACUGACGCUGAGGCUCGAAAGCAUGGGUAGCGAACAGGAUUAGAUACCCUGGUAGUCCAUGCCGUA
rnacentral:rRNA from 1 species